AUUGAACGCUGGCGGCAGGCUUAACACAUGCAAGUCGAGCGGAGAUGAGGUGCUUGCACCUUAUCUUAGCGGCGGACGGGUGAGUAAUGCUUAGGAAUCUGCCUAUUAGUGGGGGACAACAUUCCGAAAGGAAUGCUAAUACCGCAUACGCCCUACGGGGGAAAGCAGGGGAUCUUCGGACCUUGCGCUAAUAGAUGAGCCUAAGUCGGAUUAGCUAGUUGGUGGGGUAAAGGCCUACCAAGGCGACGAUCUGUAGCGGGUCUGAGAGGAUGAUCCGCCACACUGGGACUGAGACACGGCCCAGACUCCUACGGGAGGCAGCAGUGGGGAAUAUUGGACAAUGGGGGGAACCCUGAUCCAGCCAUGCCGCGUGUGUGAAGAAGGCCUUAUGGUUGUAAAGCACUUUAAGCGAGGAGGAGGCUACUGAGACUAAUACUCUUGGAUAGUGGACGUUACUCGCAGAAUAAGCACCGGCUAACUCUGUGCCAGCAGCCGCGGUAAAAC
rnacentral:rRNA from 1 species